rnacentral:rRNA from 1 species
GACGAACGCUGGCGGCGUGCUUAACACAUGCAAGUCGAACGGAAAGGCCCUGCUUUUGUGGGGUGCUCGAGUGGCGAACGGGUGAGUAACACGUGAGUAACCUGCCCUUGACUUUGGGAUAACUUCAGGAAACUGGGGCUAAUCCCGGAUAGGAGCUCCUGCUGCAUGGUGGGGGUUGGAAAGUUUCGGCGGUUGGGGAUGGACUCGCGGCUUAUCAGCUUGUUGGUGGGGUAGUGGCUUACCAAGGCUUUGACGGGUAGCCGGCCUGAGAGGGUGACCGGCCACAUUGGGACUGAGAUACGGCCCAGAAUCCUACGGGAGGCAGCAGUGGGGAAUAUUGAAAAAUGGGCGGAAGCCUGAUGCAGCAACGCCGCGUGCGGGAUGACGGCCUUCGGGUUGUAAACCGCUUUCGCCUGUGACGAAGCGUGAGUGACGGUAAUGGGUAAAGAAGCACCGGCUAACUACGUG